CCUACGGGUGGCAGCAGUGGGGGAUAUUGCACAAUGGGGGGAACCCUGAUGCAGCGACGCCGCGUGGGUGAAGGAGCGUUUUGGCGCGUAAAGCCCUAUCGGCAGGGAAGAAGAUGACGGUACCUGACCAAGAAGCCCCGGCUAACUACGUGCCAGCAGCCGCGGUAAUACGUAGGGGGCAAGCGUUAUCCGGAUUUACUGGGGGUAAAGGGAGCGUAGACGGCUGUGCAAGUCUGAAGUGAAAGCCCAGGGCUCAAACCUGGGACUGCUUUGGAAACUGUGGAGCUAGAGUGCUGGAGAGGUAAGUGGAAUUCCUAGUGUAGCGGUGAAAUGCGUAGAUAGUAGGAGGAACACCAGUUGCGAAGGCGGCUUACUGGACAGUAACUGACGUUGAGGCUCGAAAGCGUGGGGAGCAAACAGGAUUAGAUACCCGAGUAGUC
rnacentral:rRNA from 1 species